UACGAAGGGGGCUAGCGUUGCUCGGAAUCACUGGGCGUAAAGGGUGCGUAGGCGGCGCAGCAAGUCAGGGGUGAAAUCCCGGGGCUCAACCUCGGAACUGCCCUUGAAACUGCAGUGCUAGAAUCUUGGAGAGGCGAGUGGAAUUCCGAGUGUAGAGGUGAAAUUCGUAGAUAUUCGGAAGAACACCAGUGGCGAAGGCGACUCGCUGGACAAGUAUUGACGCUGAGGUGCGAAAGCGUGGGGGAGCAAACAGGG
rnacentral:rRNA from 1 species